AACGAACGUUAGCGGCGCGCCUAACACAUGCAAGUCGAGCGAGAAAGGGCUUCGGCCCCGGUACAGCGGCGCACGGGUGAGUAACACGUAGGUAACCUACCCCCAGGUGGUGGAUAACCUUCCGAAAGGAGGGCUAAUACAGCAUGAGACCACGACUUCGAAAGAAGUUGAGGUCAAAGCCGGCCUCUUCACGAAAGCUGGCGCCAGGGGAUGGGUCUGCGGCCCAUCAGCUAGUUGGUAGGGUAAUGGCCUACCAAGGCGAAGACGGGUAGCUGGUCUGAGAGGAUGAUCAGCCACACUGGAACUGAGACACGGUCCAGACUCCUACGGGAGGCUG
rnacentral:rRNA from 1 species